GCAGUCGAGCGGUAGAGAGGUGCUUGCACCUCUUGAGAGCGGCGGACGGGUGAGUAAAGCCUAGGAAUCUGCCUGGUAGUGGGGGAUAACGCUCGGAAACGGACGCUAAUACCGCAUACGUCCUACGGGAGAAAGCAGGGGACCUUCGGGCCUUGCGCUAUCAGAUGAGCCUAGGUCGGAUUAGCUAGUUGGUGAGGUAAUGGCUCACCAAGGCGACGAUCCGUAACUGGUCUGAAAGGAUGAUCAGUCACACUGGAACUGAGACACGGUCCAGACUCCUACGGGAGGCAGCAGUGGGGAAUAUUGGACAAUGGGCGAAAGCCUGAUCCAGCCAUGCCGCGUGUGUGAAGAAGGUCUUCGGAUUGUAAAGCACUUUAAGUUGGGAGGAAGGGCAUUAACCUAAUACGUUAGUGUUUUGACGUUACCGACAGAAUAAGCACCGGCUAACUCUGUGCCAGCAGCCGCGGUAAUACAGAGGGUGCAAGCGUUAAUCGGAAUUACUGGGCGUAAAGCGCGCGUAGGUGGGUCGUUAAGUUGGAUGUGAGAUCCCCGGGCUCAACCUGGGAACUGCAUUCAAAACUGUCGAGCUAGAGGUAUGGUAGAGGGUGGUGGAAUUUCCUGUGUAGCGGUGAAAU
rnacentral:rRNA from 1 species